UACGGAGGGGGCUAGCGUUGUUCGGAAUUACUGGGCGUAAAGGGCGCGUAGGCGGCUGUGCAAGUCAGAUGUGAAAGCCCUGGGCUCAACCCAGGAUGUGCAUUUGAUACUGCGCGGCUAGAGUGUCGGAGAGGAUGGUGGAAUUCCCAGUGUAGAGGUGAAAUUCGUAGAUAUUGGGAAGAACACCGGUGGCGAAGGCGACCAUCUGGACGACAACUGACGCUGAGGCGCGAAAGGCGUGGGGAGCAAACAGG
rnacentral:rRNA from 1 species